ACAGAUAUAAAGGGUUUCCAGUCAGACAUUCGCCUGAUCAAAAAUGACAUGAAGACUAUUGUUCAUCAGAUAUAUAAGAUAACUAUGACGCUUUCAGGGACUGACACUAUGCCAGUAGACCUUAGUGCUCUAAAUGAAAUUCAGGCAGUUAGUGCACUUGUAAGAGCUGUGCAAAAGAUGAUUACAGAUACAAAAGGAAUAUUUUGAAGUUAGAGGCUGAUAUCAAUAAUCCUAAUGCGUGAUCCUGCCAUGCAUAUUUCAUUAAGAGAUAGGAAACUGAGAUGGUAAUCUUUGCCUUAUAAUAUUUCUGUUACCUGGUGGAAUUAUCUCCAAGAAACAUAUACCAAAGUGGAUAUAAUGUUGAUGAAAGUUGGAGGAAAUUUUAUCUUGCUAUGCUGUGUAAAUAAAACUUCU